UUAAGUUCAGCGGGUAGUCCUACUCGAUUUGAGGUCAAGUUGUCAGAGAUUGUCCGAAGACGGUUUGAAGCACAGAGCUCCCGAUCGGCCACCCUCCUUGUGAGGAGGCGCCGGCGAAGACACUUAUCACGCCGUACUAUGUCCAACCAAGAGUUGUACUAACUCAUUUGAGGUGAGCCACAACUAAAGCAGCAACACCC
rnacentral:misc_RNA from 1 species